rnacentral:rRNA from 1 species
UACGAGGGGGGCUAGCGUUGCUCGGAAUCACUGGGCGUAAAGCGCACGUAGGCGGAUCUUUAAGUCAGGGGUGAAAUCCUGGAGCUCAACUCCAGAACUGCCUUUGAUACUGGGGAUCUCGAGUCCGGAAGAGGUGAGUGGAACUCCGAGUGUAGAGGUGAAAUUCGUAGAUAUUCGGAAGAACACCAGUGGCGAAGGCGGCCCACUGGUCCGGUACUGACGCUGAGGUGCGAAAGCGUGGG